AAAGUCUUUUACAAAAAUAUUCCAAUAUUAUAUUCUGUAUUAAAUAUUAUGAUAUUCAAAUUUUUAUUUGCAUAUGAUUUUAUAUACAGUAUAAUAAUUAGAUUAUUCAUUUUUUUUCUUGUUAUUGGUAAAAUUUUAGACUAUUUAUUACAACACCUGCAUUUCAUCAUGUUUCUUGCAUGCCCUUCCAGUGUUUGCUCCUUAUCCAUUCUUUCUGACAUCAUCUAUAUUGCCUUCUCCAAUGUUUCAACUUCUUUUUUCUGAUGUUUGAAUUAUGAGGAAAAUUCAUUGGAUGGGAUUGGAUUCAAACUAUCAUCAACUCAAUCAUCAUUCAACAUUUCUAUCUACUAUGUUAGCAAGACAUUUCACAAUUAUAUUGUCAAUAAAUGAUUUAUUUCAUAUCCUCUAAGAAUUACGAGAGCUCCAUUGCAUCCAAAAAAUAGGCAAAUUUGCAAUAUGCAGUUUUGUUUUCUGGCAUUGAAUAUGUUAUAAAAUAUUUUGCAUUAAAGCAAUUGCAGCAAUUUAUUAUUUUCAUGAGUUUUUCAUGCUUGUUGUGCUGAAGCUUUUCUCCUAAUUUGAUAUGAUGCUAAAGGUGAUGAUGGCAGUACUGAAUUACUUGUAGUAAUUUGACCAAAGGACAAAUGCUAAAUGGCUGAGAAAACAUUUUCUGAACUGGUAGUCAGCUGAAGUGACAACUAGACUAAAUUCUGAUGGAUCUGUGGAUGAUUUCAACAUUACUCCAUUGAAUGGAAUAGAUCAUUUUAAUAGCCACUUUAUUGCUGCUGAAUGUUCCUUUCUACAUUCUGGCAAUUGCAGAUGCAGGUAGGUUUUUAAUUCUGCUGUGUAAGAAUUGGCAGAUGAUUUAAAAUCUAGCAUGAAUGCAGUAGAUGGUCUAAAAUCUUACCCAUUUUUUGUAAAUUAUUCAAUUUUUAAUACCAAAACCCCCCUUGAUUGUUUACACUAAUCAAAUGCUCUGGUACUAAAUUGAGAAAUUUAUAAAAAAUGGAAUUAAGUAUUAAUACAUUAGUAAUUAUUUCACUUGAAUGCAAAGAUACAAAGGAAGUUAUUUAAAAAGAAAAAGAAAUAUACACAAAAUAAUGAUACUACUAGAUAAUUUUUCAAUUAUUAAUUCUAAUAAUAUUUUAGUUAAUGGAAAAAUAUAGGAAGUUGGAUGACAGAGAAAAGUAUU
rnacentral:lncRNA from 1 species